UCCAUCACAGGGCUUGUACGUGUGGUC
rnacentral:piRNA from 1 species